UAUUGGUCAAUGGGCGAGAGCCUGAACCAGCCAAGUCGCGUGAAGGAUGAAGGAUCUAUGGUUUGUAAACUUCUUUUAUAUGGGAAUAAAGUGAGGAACGUGUUCCUUUUUGUAUGUACCAUAUGAAUAAUCAUCGGCUAACUCCGUGCCAGCAGCCGCGGUAAUUCGGAGGAUGCUAGCGUUAUCCGGAGUUAUUGGGUUUAAAGGGUGCGUAGGUGGUUAAUUAAGUCGGCGGUGAAAGUUUGUGGCUCAACCAUAAAAUUGCCGUUGAAACUGGUUGACUUGAGUAUAUUUGAGGUAGGCGGAAUGCGUGGUGUAGCGGUGAAAUGCAUAGAUAUCACGCAGAACUCCGAUUGCGAAGGCAGCUUACUAAACUAUAACUGACACUGAAGCACGAAAGCGUGGGGAGCAAACGGG
rnacentral:rRNA from 1 species